rnacentral:misc_RNA from 1 species
GAAAUGCGAUACGUAAUGUGAAUUGCAGAUUUCAGUGAAUCAUCGAAUCUUUGAACGCACAUUGCGCCCGCUAGUAUUCUGGCGGGCGCAAUGUGCGUUCAAAGAUUCGAUGAUUCACUGAAAUCUGCAAUUCACACCAAGUAUCGCAUUUCGCUGCGUUCUUCAUCGAUGCUCGUCUGACCAG